rnacentral:rRNA from 1 species
UACGGGGGGGGGCGAGCGUUUGUUCGGAAUUACUGGGCGUAAAGGGUUUGUAGGUGGUCUGCUAAGUCAGACGUGAAAUCCCUCAGCUUAACUGGGGAACUGCGUCUGAUACUGGCGGACUUGAGGACAGGAGAGGAACGCGGAAUUCCAGGUGUAGCGGUGAAAUGCGUAGAUAUCUGGAGGAACACCGGUGGCGAAGGCGGCGUUCUGGACUGUUUCUGACACUGAAAAACGAAAGCCAGGGGAGCAAACGGG